rnacentral:rRNA from 1 species
GACGAACGCUGGCGGCGUGCCUAAUACAUGCAAGUAGAACGCUGAAGGAGGAGCUUGCUUCUCUGGAUGAGUUGCGAACGGGUGAGUAACGCGUAGGUAACCUGUCUGGUAGCGGCGGAUAACUCUUGGAAACGAUAGCUAAUACCCCAUAAUAGAAGAUGUUCCACGACAUUUGCUCAAAAGGUGCAAUUUUACCAUUACCAGUUGGACCUGCGGUGGAUUAGGUAGUUGGUGAGGUAACGGCUCCACAAGGCGACGAUACAUAGCCGACCCGGGGGGGGGAUACGCCACCCUGGGACUGGAACACAGCCCAGACUCCUACGGGGAGCAACAGUAGGGGAACUUCGGCAAUAGGCGGAAGUCUGGCCGAGCAAAGGCGCGGGAGUGGAGAAGGGUCUCGGAUCGGUAAGCUCCGUUGUAAGAGGAGAACGAGUGGGAGAAUGAAAAAUUCACGCUGUGACGGUAACUGAGCAGAAAGGGACGGCUAACUACGUG